rnacentral:rRNA from 1 species
CCUACGGGCGGCAGCAGUGGGGAAUAUUGCACAAUGGGGGAAACCCUGAUGCAGCGACGCCGCGUGAGUGAAGACGUACUUCGUGAUGUAAAGCUCUAUCAGCAGGGAAGAAAAUGACGGUACCUGAGUAAGAAGCCCCGGCUAACUACGUGCCAGCAGCCGCGGUAAUACGUAGGGGGCAAGCGUUAUCCGGAUUUACUGGGUGUAAAGGGAGCGUAGACGGCAGUGCAAGUCAGGAGUGAAAGGGGGGGGCUCAACUCGCGGCGUGCCUUGGAAACUGUACGGCUGGAGUGCAGGAGAGGUAAGUGGAAUUCCUAGUGUAGCGGUGAAAUGCGUAGAUAUUAGGAAGAACACCAGUGGCGAAGGCGGCUUACUGGACUGUAACUGACGUUGAGGCUCGAAAGCGUGGGGAGCAAACAGGAUUAGAUACCCGAGUAGUC